rnacentral:rRNA from 1 species
GUGCCAGCCGCCGCGGUAAUACGGAGGGUGCAAGCGUUAUCCGGAUUCACUGGGUUUAAAGGGUGCGUAGGAGGGUAGGUAAGUCAGUGGUGAAAUCUCCGGGCUCAACUCGGAAACUGCCGUUGAUACUAUCUGUCUUGAAUACCGUGGAGGUGAGCGGAAUAUGUCAUGUAGCGGUGAAAUGCUUAGAUAUGACAUAGAACACCGAUUGCGAAGGCAGCUCACUACACGAAUAUUGACUCUGAGGCACGAAAGCGUGGGGAUCAAACAGGAUUAGAAACCCUAGUAGUCC